GUUGUGCAUCCAGACUCUGCCUUCGCUGGACGCACGACCCGCUGCUCUCCCGCUCUCCCGGUGCGCCCGAACCAAAGCUGCUCCAGCGCCUGUUUUAGCAGCAGCAUCUCAUUCUUUUGACAAUUUAAUGGGUCUUUUCAGGUAAAGGAAUGCAGCUCUGUUCGGGGAUUUUCUCCUUGCGGCCUUGAAUGAGUUAUCACCACGGGAAAAACUUGACACUUGUGGGAGGAUCGCUUCAUAGCCUGCUCUAAGUGCACUUCCUUCUGGAGGGGAGCGGCCACGCACGGGAUCGUAAUAUUUCUUGUCUUCUGUUUUAAUGUUUCCAAGCAGCUUUGCGUAGCUUGCACAGCCUCGCACGCCACGCUGUUGGAAUUUCCCAUAUCUUUUAACUCCUUACUCAGCCGGGUGACCUCUUCCCGGAGCUGGGCGACUUCUUCAGCCCCUAACCGCAGGCAUGUGGCCAGCAGCCAUGACAGGCACCCGUUCUCGGGCUUACCCCGGGCAGCAGCAGCAAACCUAGCCUAAUGAUCGGGUACAGUUCCUGGGUCACUCCAGACAGGUCUCAACCUAUCCUUAUCCCUCCCACCCAGGAUUCUCCAUCCUCGUCACCUCCUUAAGCAAAGCGACUAACGGGGCCCACGCAACUCCCUCCAUUCUGACCUUUCUCUCCGGACCAGAGCCUCUCAGUCCUGUUCAUGACACCAAUUUAUGUCCCAGCCGCCUGCGGAGGGUUCAGGAUUGAGAGUAUGGUCGGGAGUAGAAAGGUAAGAAAGGUGUAUUGACUUAACAAAAACACAACUGCGCGUAGUAACAAGACAAACAAUGACAGACAAAAGCAAUUCGCGUCGGCAACUUAUCGGCAGUCUCCUCUGAUGCCUGAUGCACAGCAAGCUUCUCUCUCCACAAAGUUUAGCGAAGUCAGGCGUCCCUGAACAGCGCUGUCCGAGGGGUACCGGGAAGGACCCUGGAACGCAGUCCUUGGGCUCCUCGAGGUCCACGGGCCCACUGAUCCAGGCAACAGCUAACUAAUCCUUUUCACAGAGAUGUAUCCUCCUUCUGAAUGGUUUCUAGAUAUUCCAGCCCAUUUAAAGCUUUUGAACGGUUCUGAUAAUGUACAACCGCUCAGAUUCCUUUUACCUCAACUGUUCUUAGACUGACCAAUUAGCAGUACAAGCUUUGCAUUCCUUUGAUAAGGUAAUUUUAACUACGCCACAAGGCCUUACUACUUCAAGGCUUUGUUAAAUUUACUUGGCCUUACUUUAUACAAGGCCUCACUACAUCUUAAACUUUAAUUAGGCUUUUAGCAACAACAUAUAGCUUAAUAUCUAAACAAAUACAGCAAAACACUUGGUCUAAUCUUCAUAGGGCCUUCAGCAAGCACCUGUAUCACACAGGCACACUUUUCAGCUGCCACAGGGGGUUGGUGGGCGCUGGGGAGAGCCCAGGCCCAGGCCAUGCCCCCGUUGCAGAGGGAGGGGAAACCCCCCCCGGCCGGGCCAGGCGAAGCUGAGCAGGGGGCAAAUCCCUGCCUGCCCCCCAAGGCAGC